rnacentral:rRNA from 1 species
CCUACGGGAGGCAGCAGUGGGGAAUCUUGCGCAAUGGGCGAAAGCCUGACGCAGCCAUGCCGCGUGAAUGAUGAAGGUCUUAGGAUUGUAAAAUUCUUUCACCGGGGACGAUAAUGACGGUACCCGGAGAAGAAGCCCCGGCUAACUUCGUGCCAGCAGCCGCGGUAAUACGAAGGGGGCUAGCGUUGCUCGGAAUUACUGGGCGUAAAGGGAGCGUAGGCGGAUAGUUUAGUCAGAGGUGAAAGCCCAGGGCUCAACCUUGGAAUUGCCUUUGAUACUGGCUAUCUUGAGUGUGGGAGAGGUAUGUGGAACUCCGAGUGUAGAGGUGAAAUUCGUAGAUAUUCGGAAGAACACCAGUGGCGAAGGCGACAUACUGGCCCAUUACUGACGCUGAGGCUCGAAAGCGUGGGGAGCAAACAGGAUUAGAUACCCUGGUAGUCCACGCUGUAAACGAUGAGUGCUAGUUGUCGGCAUGCAUGCAUGUCGGUGACGCAGCUACGACAUAAGACGACGUCCGCCGUCGGGGUAGGUACGGUCGGCGAAGUAAGUUAAACGUUAACGAAAGUAAGUUAGUUAGUACGNGNGAGACGCGACGACGACGACGACGGAGGAGGAG